AUGGGGAGCCACUGAAGGAUUUUCACCCAAACAGGGACACCUGUGUUUCCAAAAGAUGUUGGAAGGAGCCAGAAUGUAUGUGUCCAGAGGAGAUGAGCAGGCUAUGGAGCAUUUUCAAAAAUCACUGGAAUCAUUUGUUCUUUAAAGGACUUAAUGUCUUAAGGAAAGCUCCCUGCUCUUUCUAUGUGCUCUGCUGUGCCCAACAUUUAAAGUCUGGAAAAGCUAAGGAGAGGGAGCAGGGUCAGGAGGCUGUCACAGGAAAAGGGCUUUUAGAGAAAUGACAGUCCCUUGCUGCUGCGUUUAAUUGGAAAGGAGCUCAGAGACCUGAGAUUAUAAUUAUGACAUCUUAAAUGUUAAGCUCUUCAAAAGUCUGCCAUUGCCCUCACUGUCACCCUGAACACAUCUGGAAACCCAAACCCUGCAGCACCCCAGAGCAUGCACUGGGUCUCAGCCAGGCUUCACCUGGGAAAUCUGAGUGAGUGCCGUGCAGGCAGCAGGAAGAUACACAAUAAACCGAAGAGCCUAUGAUGAGCUCAGAGGAGUCUAGGAAUCUCACCUCCUCACCUUGGCUGUGAGGUCUUCUGAGGCAAGAAUGAUGCCUGUUCUUUCUUGGGCAUGUCCUCCCAGCCUGGCCAGCCAGAAGCCUGGACACCUAAGAGCUGCUGGCCUUUCCUUGAACUCUGAGGGCUUCUGUGGAACAGAGAGGUUUAUUUACCCCAUUUUCUAGUGAUGGACAUUCAAGCUGUUUCCAGUUUUUCACUGUUACAGUGAUGUACUAACAUUCUUAAACCUUCUUGUGCCAUAUCAGAGGGUCUCUCUACAGAGAUUCCUGGAAGUAGACUGCACGCUCUCAUCUCCCCCUUCAACUUGGGGAACUUCAGGGCUCACUCUCACCCACGGGCAGCGUACUAGUAUCUAUUCUUGUACAAAGGGCAGUUCCCUCUUCAGGAAACACCGAGGACCAGCUCUUAGCACUGUGUUCUAUACCCCACUGCACUGCUAUGGACCUCGCAGACAUCACCGUCUCCCUGGAACAUCCUCACCCUCCAUCUCACCUGAACUGCGUCUAUAUGCAGGUCCAUCAGUGGCCUUCUCAAGAAACUCCCUAACUGUACCACCACAGCUCCCAAGAUGACUUGUUUUACCUUGACUACCUUCAUAUGCUUACGGAAUUAUCUUCCUAAAUGGGCCUAAGUCCCUUGAAGACAAAUCUGCCCUAAGAUAGAGCCUUGUUUGUGUAGGUGCUUGUUAAAUGUGUGCUAUUCUAUAUAUAAAAGCCUAAUAUGCAAAUUGU